rnacentral:rRNA from 1 species
AGAGUUUGAUCCUGGCUCAGGAUGAACGCUGGCGGCGUGCUUAACACAUGCAAGUCGAACGAAGCACUUUUCUUGAUUCUUCGGAUGAAAAGGAAAUUGACUGAGUGGCGGACGGGUGAGUAACGCGUGGGUAACCUGCCCUGUACAGGGGGAUAACAGUUAGAAAUGACUGCUAAUACCGCAUAAGACCACAGCAUCGCAUGGUGCAGAGGUAAAAACUCCGGUGGUACAGGAUGGACCCGCGUCUGAUUAGCUAGUUGGUGGGGUAACGGCCUACCAAGGCGACGAUCAGUAGCCGACCUGAGGAGGGUGACCGGCCACAGUUGGGACUGAGACACGGACCCAAACUCCUACGGGAGGCAGCAGGUGGGGAAUAUUGCACAAUGGGGGAAACCCUGAUUGCAGCGACGCCGCGUGAAGGAUGAAGUAUUUCGGUAUGUAAACUUCUAUCAGCAGGGAAGAAAAUGACGGUACCUGACUAAGAAGCCCCGGCUAACUACGUGCCAGCCGCUGC